GCGCUCUUAGUUCAGUUCGGUAGAACGCGGGUCUCCAAAACCCUCUGUCGUGGGUUCAAAUCCUACAGAGCGAA
rnacentral:ncRNA from 15 species